UACGUAGGGGGCAAGCGUUGUCCGGAAUCAUUGGGCGUAAAGCGCGUGUAGGCGGCUCGGUAAGUCCGCUCUGAAAGUCCAGGGCUCAACCCUGGGAUGCGGGUGGAUACUGCCGGGCUCGAGUCCGGAAGAGGCGAGUGGAAUUCCCGGUGUAGCGGUGAAAUGCGCAGAUAUCAGGAAGAACACCCGUGGCGAAGGCGGUUCUCUGGGACGGUACUGACGCUGAGACGCGAAAGCGUGGGGAGCGAACAGG
rnacentral:rRNA from 1 species